AGAUUGAACGCUGGCGGCAGGCCUAACACAUGCAAGUCGAGCGGUAGAGAGGUGCUUGCAUCUCUUGAGAGCGGCGGACGGGUGAGUAAUGCCUAGGAAUCUGCCUAGUGGUGGGGGAUAACGUUCGGAAACGGACGCUAAUACCGCAUACGUCCUACGGGAGAAAGCGGGGGACCCUUCGGGCCUCGCGCCCAUUAGAUGAGCCUAGGUCGGAUUAGCUAGUUUGGUGAGGUAAUGGCUCACCAAGGCGACGAUCCGUAACUGGUCUGAGAGGAUGAUCAGUCACAC
rnacentral:rRNA from 1 species